rnacentral:RNase_P_RNA from 1 species
CCAAGUAGGCAGGUGGUUACUCUUCUUUAUUGAAGAGAGGAAGGUCCGAACACUUAUUCUCUGAAAGGAGUCUAACAGGUAGCGGGUAACACCCGUCUGGAGUAAUCCACGAGGUGCGAACAGUGACGCUGAAAUUUGAAAAGGUUUCAGUAUCCAGUUUACUGGAUAAAUCUAAAUGGUAACAUUUAGGGUGAAACGGCUAAAUCCUUACCCAAGUGCAAGAGCAAACCGAGAAUACAGCUUUCAUGUUGCAUAUCUCGUGAAAAGUGGCUCGCAUGAGCUCAAAGGUAACUUUGAGCCAAGAUAGAUGAUCACCCAUCCCCAUUAGGGGAGGACAGAAUUCGGCCUAUAACCUACUUGGGUUU